rnacentral:rRNA from 1 species
AUGUGCGAAAGCGUGAGAGGGGAACUCCUAGUGCUCAUGGUUUAUCCAUGGGCUUUUGCCAUGUGUAAAUAGCAUGGCGAAUAAGUGGUGGGCAAGACUGGUGCCAGCCGCCGCGGUAACACCAGCGCCACGAGUGGCCACCGCGAUUAUUGGGCCUAAAGCGUCCGUAGUCGGGCUUGUACAUCUUCUGUGAAAUCGCUGCGCUUAACGUAGCGGCAUGCGGAAGACACGGCAAGCCUUGAGACUGGAAGGCGUCAGGGGUACUCCGGGGGGACCGGUAAAAUGGUAUAAUCCCCGGAAGACCACCUGUGGCGAAGGCGCCUGACGAGUACAGAUCUGACGAUGAGGGACGAAAGCCAGGGGAGCAAACCGGAUUAGAUACCCGCGUAGUCC